rnacentral:rRNA from 1 species
CGAAUAGGGGCAACCCUUAGUAGAGCGGCGCACGGGUGCGUAACACGUGGAUAAUCUGCCUGGAUGCUCGGGAUAACCAGUCGAAAGAUUGGCUAAUACCGGAUAAGCCCACGGUUUCUUCGGAGACUGAGGGAAAAGGUGGCCUCUGUAUACAAGCUAUCACAACCAGAUGAGUCCGCGGCCCAUCAGCUAGUUGGCGGGGUAAUGGCCCACCAAGGCAACGACGGGUAGCUGGUCUGAGAGGACGAUCAGCCACACUGGAACUGAGACACGGUCCAGACUCCUACGGGAGGCAGCAGUGGGGAAUUUUGCGCAAUGGGCGAAAGCCUGACGCAGCAACGCCGCGUGUGUGAUGAAGGUCUUCGGAUUGUAAAGCACUUUCGACCGGGACGAAAACCCGUAGCCCAACACGCUACGGCUUGACGGUACCGGGAGAAGAAGCACCGGCUAACUCUGUGCCAGCAGCCGCGGUAAUACAGAGGGUGCAAGCGUUGUUCGGAAUUAUUGGGCGUAAAGCGCGUGUAGGCGGCGUGACAAGUCGGGUGUGAAAGCCCUCAGCUCAACUGAGGAAGUGCGCCCGAAACUGUCGUGCUUGAGUGCCGGAGAGGGUGGCGGAAUUCCCCAAGUAGAGGUGAAAUUCGUAGAUAUGGGAGGAACACCGGUGGCGAAGGCGGCCACCUGGACGGUAACUGACGCUGAGACGCGAAAGCGUGGGGA